UAUACCCCUAUCGGACCGUUGCACACACUCACUCUCUUAUCAUCCUCACAAAUCUCACCGUUUUUUAAUGAAAUUCUUGAUUUCAAUAAAGAUUUUUUUAUCGAUUUCAAUGAAAUUCUUCAGUAAUCUCUUUGAUUAGUUUCAAUUUCAGAUUUAGGAAAAGAGGAAAAACCGUAGCUUAGUGUUUUUGUGUGAGCCAGUGAAAAAUAUGAAUCGGUAUCAUACAUAUGAAGCUUUUGGCCACGAAAACACUUGACUAAAAGAAGAAAAACCCUAGCUAAGUGAUUUUGUAUGAGCAAGUGAAAAAAAUAUGAAUCAGUAUCAUACAUAUGAAGUUUUUGGCCGUGCAAGACGCUGACUAUAUAUAAAGGAAGAAACAAGAAGACAAUCGAGUAUUUUGCGAUUAAAAGUGUGGAUAAAUCUCAGAAAAACAAGGUUCUUGAAAGUUGAUUUAGGAUAUUUGAAGAAAUAAAGUGAACUUGAGGCAAAAAGAGGUCAAGAGCUGAAAAAUGCAAUGAGGAGUUUCAAGAAAAGUUGAAUAAAUUCGACAUUGAGAGGAAGGAACAAGAACUUGCUGCCAAAAAUGCUCAAAGCCAUCAACAAAAAGUGGAGAGCUUGGAUAGCAUCACCGUGAUUGGAAAAGAAGAAGAGGAAAUCGAUGAAUCUGAAAUUACUAAAGGUAGUUUUCUCCAAGACUAUUGCUUGUUCAUUCUGUUAUUACUAUUUUAUGUUUUGUUGACAAGGUUCUCAUUCUGAAAAAACAUAUGGUGGAGGGAUUGAAUUUGAUUUCACCUACAACAACUAAAACGUACACAACAUAAUGUCAUAAAGUGGGGUUUGAGGAGGGUAGAGUGUAAACCGACCUUUUCCUUACCUUGGGAGGUAGAGUGAUUAAACUGUUUUCGAUGGACCCUUAGUUGUAUUUGCUUGCACCUCUAAGUAUAAAACUGUGAAAGUGCCUGAUUUAUCCUCUUGAUAACAUUGGUAUUUGGGCACCGUAUAUUGUAUUACAUAGUACUGUAUGUUUAACUAUGCACAUGAAGUUGUAGGUAGAUGAGAAGAUAUCACCUAGUGUCGUCUUUUGUGAAAUUUGAACCUUAGUUCCUAAGCUGUUACUUGAUCUAUUUGAUUGCUAGGCCACCCUAUUGGGAAGAAGAUAAUUUACGAUUGAAUUGGGAACCAAGCUGCAAAAUUUAUUAGCUACCCAAUAGCUCUCUUAGAAAUUUGAUAACUUCAUAAUACUUUUGAUUUUUAAUUGUAGUCUACUUUUUUAGAGGAAUAGAUACAAAGGAAAAAUGUUAUGUUACAGGGUAAUUAUAUGUGAACCCUCCUCAGUAUGGACUUUAGAAACUGUCAGCUUACAACACAUUGUUGUGUAAGUUAUAUUCAUUGACUUGCGGUAAAAUUCUAUUGGUGCUUGCUAAUCUACAGUGCUAAUGGAUCAGCUUACUCAAUUGUUUUAACAUUAUCUAUAGUUCUUGCAAAUCUUCAAAAGCAGCUAAACUACUUCAAAAUGUAUAUGCUUUUCGUAAGCGUGGUCUUAGAAAACAACUUGCCUCAUCAUAUAUCUAGAUGUUAAGGAUUGUUGAUGCUUGUGACUAUUGUAGUUAUGAGAUUAUUGGAAAUUAUAUGAGUCAUAACACAUUCUUUCUAUUAUGUGGCAUAAAUUUGAAGUCUCGUGAACAAAUGAUCAAGAACCCCAACCUCUUUUCUUAAAAUCUAUUUCCUUCAGUUUCCUCUAUUCAUGUACUUAUUCUUCUAUGGCUACAUUUGCUAUAGGUCAGAAUUCUUCAUUCUAUAGAUCAUGCAAAUGUAUUGAAGUUCUACUCCUGCUGAGAUUUAUCUUUUUCAUGUCUUCCAUGUAACCCCUCUCUUUUUCUUCAAUUCUGUUUAUGUGGUAAAGGUCAUUUUGGUGUUUAAUAAGAAGGUUUCUCUGACAUAUUUUCUAAUUCAACCUAUCCAUAGGUAUGAAACAUCUGCACACCUAUGGUUGGUUUUAGAAUAUUUUGUUGGAAGAAAUCUCAUGAGCUUAUUGCAGCAGGUAAGCACUGGCAGGUCUGCUAUUUUAUAAAUACAUUUCAUUGUUCCAGUGGUAUAACUAUUGUGUUGGAAUAUUAUGCUGACAUUAGACACGAACAUCCAAAAUAUGUGACACACCCUAAUUCUUCUUGGUCAUUUUUUUAGUAGAGGCGUGGGAUAUUGAGGUUUCAUGGUAAAUUUGUUGCAUGCCUACAUUGGGAUUUCCCAAACAGGCACUAAGGACAUCAGUGUCAUGUGUGAUUGAACACUUUCAUAGAGUCAUUUGUAGUCUCACAAAUAAAGGUAACUUGUUUCUUGUGCCAGCAAAAUGAUGUGAAAGAAAUAGGUUUCUUUUUUAUUUGUAUUUAAAGAGUAGUCAAAAUGACCACAGUUUACUGUAGUUGGUAAUGUAACAACUUGCAUCUGCAUCAUCUUACCUAUAUUUUAGUUUAAACCACACCUGGGAGAUUUUAACAUCUUUUAAUCUCUGGUUGAAGAUGGUAAGCUUCUUGAAUAUUCAAUACAUGAACAUGCUUGUGGCCUUGUUAGAGCUCUUCUGCAAGUUAGUAACUUUAGCCUUCAUUGUUCUUUUGUAACACGUUGUUGUUGGCAUGAAUUAUUUUUUGGUGUUUUGUCUACUAUACCAGAUACUUGCAUUCAAAGGGAAUAAUUUACUGUGACUUAAAGCUAUCAAACAUCCUGUUGGAUGAAAAUGGGAUCACGAAAGUAUGGUGAUAUUUAUGUUGUGAUUUUUACACAUCAUGAUGAGCUUUUUACCAGUUAUGUGAUGUUAAAGUUCUAUUUGUUUCCUGGCAGCUGUGUGAUUUUGGAUUAGCAAGAAAAUUGAGUGAUAUAUAAAAAACACCUUCCUCCCAGGUAGUUCACCUCUAUCUUCCCUCUUUUUUACCCUAAAAUGAACAAAGAAAAAGUUAAAUUGGUGGCAUAUCUGUUUGGAAGUUCAUUAAAGGUAAACUGUUUGGAAGUGCUUUUGACCAAUUAUAUGACGUUGAAGUUCAAUCAUGCUUCCUUUUCCUCUUCUAGUUCUUAUAAAAAUAUGAUUUCUCUGAUAUCUCAAAACCAUCUACGAACCUUUCAGAUAUUAUUUGGCGUCCAUCUGAUUUCUCAGUCUGAACUGUAAUGCCUCACAGAAAAUCAGAUAAAGGUUCAGAUGCAAUUCCUUCACUUUCAUUUGAUGCACCACCUCAACUGUUUGAUUUUGUCAAAAUGUCAAAUGAGCAAUAAGAAUAGUAGAAUCAUCAUUAUUAGUGGGAAUACUCCCUAAGGGGAGAAGCAAAAUGUGAUCAGAUACCUUGAGCUUUUUUAGCAUCAAAGCUGAUGUAACCAACAUCUUGAUCAAUGACUCUAUUGUGUUGGUUCUAGCCAAAAUGCUUAGUCACUCCAAGGUUUAUCUGUUGCAUGCUCAAUUUUCUUAACUUAUUGGCUUGUUGAUUCGUCACUCUACUUUUUUUGGGGAUGAGCUGGAAAAUUCUGGAAUAUUAGGUGCACUAACUGAUGGUCUGAGAGACAUGCAACAGAGAGUGAGAAGGUUUUCCAUGGCUGCUUUGGGCGAAUUACUAUUUUAUAUAUCUACUAUAAAUGAGCAUGCCCAGGAUAAUAAACCAAUGGAAUCUCCAUCUAAGGACAGCUGACCCUCAUCCUAUUGGCAGGUUACAAGUCCAAUAAUAUCAUUGGUUUCAUCACUUUUACGAAACGAAGAGGAUGACUUACUCAGCUUUAUGCUCUAAGGACAAUUGAAAAUAUCUCCAAUCAAGAAGGGUAUUUGUCAGCUUGUUUCACCAGCCAAGAUGUCAUUACUAACCUAUGCUACAUAUUUAGGGCUCCUGGAAAGCAGGAGAUCAUGAGGCUGACAACAGCGUCUUGCUUGCUCGUCUUGUUCGUUUUAGCCCUUCUAGUAUUCAACGAGUCAUGGAAAAACUUUCAUUCAAGGUUAUGGUUUCAAGCCUGGUCAAGCGUAAUCCACGAGAGCAACAAAUCUGCUUAAACAUUCGAACAUGAACCCCCUUGAAAGUCAUACACCUCCAAGUGUUGGAAGGUACCUUCUUGCCUUGGUCGAAGACAACAAUCUUGUUUUGUAUCUGUUGACUCUAAUUGAGCAGGGAAGUGAAGUUUAGAAGGGAAAGGCACUAAUAUUUGUGGCUUUACUUUGUAUGAAUGGGAAGAGGUGGCUGCCACAAUUUUUUUUCCAAUGCUAAAUUGCUCUCGACCAUUGAUAAGUUGGUUGAGAAGAAUGACGUUGUGAAGCAGUGUUUAGAUGCACUUGGGAUGUCUGUCACAUCAAGUGUACCAAGUUUACUUGAGUGUAUAUCUGGGGACAUUCAGCAACUGAAAGGUGGUAAGCGCCGUGGGAAGAUAAGUAGCGUCACAAGUCAAAAUUCUUCUAAGAAAUGCAUUUAUUUCGUGUUGUUCGGCAUCUUCUUGGGUGCGCUUCACUGAAAAGAAGGAUUGCUAGUCAUGAGGUUCUGCAACAGUUGGCAAAUCUGCUUAAACUGGUGAAGUUUCCAUUCCAGGUAAUCUGAUGAUUAUCCUCAUUACAUUUUCUAAUUGAAACAUAAUUGACCAUGUUUAAGAAUUAUUUUUGUUGUUGUUAAUAUAAAGUUAAGUGAAGUUCAAGAAAUUAGUUCAUUGACAAAUCUAUAUCUGAAAAUCUUUAGUUAGUUAUGUAUAGCGUGAAUUUUUGAGGUAUUUUUAUG